AUUGAACGCUGGCGGCAUGCUUUACACAUGCAAGUCGAACGGCAGCACGGGCUUCGGCCUGGUGGCGAGUGGCGAACGGGUGAGUAAUAUAUCGGAACGUACCCAGAAGUGGGGGAUAACGUAGCGAAAGUUACGCUAAUACCGCAUACGAUCUAUGGAUGAAAGCAGGGGACCGCAAGGCCUUGUGCUCCUGGAGCGGCCGAUAUCUGAUUAGCUAGUUGGUGAGGUAAAGGCUCACCAAGGCGACGAUCAGUAGCUGGUCUGAGAGGACGACCAGCCAAACUGGACUGGAGCCCCGGCCCAGCCCCCUACGGGAGCACGCAGUGGGAAUUUUUGGCAAAGGGGCCCAACCCUGUCCCACCAAUGCCGCGGGAGUGAAGAAGGCCUUCGGGUUGUAAAGCUUUUUUGUAAGGGAAGAAACGGUAGAGGCUAAAAUCCUUUGCUAAUGCCGGUACCGGAAGAAUAAGCCCCGGCUACCUCCGU
rnacentral:rRNA from 1 species